rnacentral:lncRNA from 1 species
AUUCUAUUAGGAGUUAUUAAUUAAUUCGUUGGUGAGUCCUUUAGCGCUUUAAAGUUUUACAAUAAAUACGAUAUUUUGUUUAAGGUUGUGAUGUUAAGAGAUUGUGACUCAGAGAAGGUAAGUGGAACCAACAGGGAUAAACAAAAAAAAAUGUGUGUGAUUGUGCAUGUGGUAACCAUUAAAAAUAUUUGUUUGAGGUGAUUUUUAAUGUUUUCAAUAAAAUUAUGGUCUGUAUUUGAUGCUGUCAUUCUCUUUUCCAUAACAGCUACACUGCUUUCUUCAUCUAAGAACUAAUAUAAUCCUAUAAAUCACGUCUUUAAUUUCUAUAUAUUUAAUAUAGUCAUGAUGACUCGAAAAUCCCAUGAUAGAAAGAUAAAGACUGCCUUAAAUCUUCAACUGUGAUACAAGGUGGAUACCAUUAUUCAAAAUUUCUUCUUCUACCUUAUAACCUUUCAGAAUUAAGACCUACAAAUAGAUAAAGAAAUUGCCCAAAAUGAGACUCUACUGGUCAAAUAUGAAGAUGUAAAUGAUAGUGGCACCAAUGGAUUAGAGGUUUGCAAGCUAAGUUGACAGAGGAGGCGGUGGGAGAGCUGAUGUUGGCGAUGGAGGAGGUGGCUAUGGCCUUUCUGCAGCCCACCACGAUGACCGUUGUGGAGUCGACCACGACGGCCGUUGUCCCCGCAAAGGCCGUAGUGGAGUCUCGCGGCCACCAUGCUUAUGAUAGGGAUGGACUUGAUGAGGACUUGGUUUCUCUUUAUGAAUGAUCCUCUUGGACACUACCCUGAGCUUGUAUGGAAAGUCAUGCGGAGAAAGUUUGUAUAAGGAAGACAGAGAAGCCCGUUCAGUAGCCUUGACCCUGCGGCUGCUAUUAGAAAGUAGGAGAGCAGAUAUAAAAAUGAAAACUAUGAGCCAAGAAUUUGCUUUCAUUGCCAUGCUUGUGUACUGCUGCAAGUCACUUAUGAGGCUAUAGAAUGUGAUGAUUUAGGGCAGCUUGGCUUGGGUUUAAAUAGAAACAUAUAUUCUGUCGUCUUUGUGUCUAUGAAGUCCAUGAGUGCUUGACCCGUUAUUAAAGCCCGUUGGAAACGUAAUUCAAUUAAAGC